rnacentral:rRNA from 1 species
CCAGACUCCUACGGGAGGCAGCAGUGGGGAAUAUUGCACAAUGGGGGAAACCCUGAUGCAGCGACGCCGCGUGAGUGAAGAAGUAUCUCGGUACGUAAAGCUCUAUCAGCAGGGAAGAAAAUGACGGUACCUGACUAAGAAGCCCCGGCUAACUACGUGCCAGCAGCCGCGGUAAUACGUAGGGGGCAAGCGUUAUCCGGAUUUACUGGGUGUAAAGGGAGCGUAGACGGCAGCACAAGUCUGGAGUGAAAUCCCGGGGCUUAACCCCGGAACUGCUUUGGAAACUGUGCGGCUGGAGUGCAGGAGGGGUAAGCGGAAUUCCUAGUGUAGCGGUGAAAUGCGUAGAUAUUAGGAGGAACACCGGUGGCGAAGGCGGCUUGCUGGACAGUAACUGACGUUGAGGCUCGAAAGCGUGGGGAGCAAACAGGAUUAGAUACCCCAGUA